ACAGCAGUCGCCGCGGUAAUACAGAGGGUGCAAGCGUUAAUCGGAAUUACUGGGCGUAAAGCGCGCGUAGGUGGUUUGUUAAGUUGGAUGUGAAAUCCCCGGGCUCAACCUGGGAACUGCAUCCAAAACUGGCAAGCUAGAGUAUGGUAGAGGGUGGUGGAAUUUCCUGUGUAGCGGUGAAAUGCGUAGAUAUAGGAAGGAACACCAGUGGCGAAGGCGACCACCUGGACUGAUACUGACACUGAGGUGCGAAAGCGUGGGGAGCAAACAGGAUUAGAUACCCCUGUAGUCCCUGUCUCUUAUAC
rnacentral:rRNA from 1 species